ACGUAGGUGGCGAGCGUUGUCCGGAUUUACUGGGCGUAAAGGGCUUGUAGGCGGUCCGUUAAGUCCGAUGUGAAAUCUCCCGGCUCAACUGGGAGAGGUCAUUGGAUACUGGCGGACUAGAGGGGGGUAGAGGAAAGCAGAAUUCCUGGUGUAGCGGUGAAAUGCGUAGAUAUCAGGAGGAACACCGGUGGCGAAGGCGGCUUUCUGGACAGUAACCGACGCUGAGGCACGAAAGCUAGGGGAGCAAACAGGA
rnacentral:rRNA from 1 species